rnacentral:rRNA from 1 species
GCAGCCGCGGUAAUUCGGAGGGUGCGAGCGUUAAUCGGAAUUACUAGGGCGUAAAGCGUGCGUAGGCGGUUUGUUAAGCAAGAUGUGAAAGCCCAGGGCUCAACCUUGGAACUGCAUUUUGAACUGGCAAACUAGAGUACUGUAGAGGGUGGUGGAAUAUCCAGUGUAGCGGUGAAAUGCGUAGAGAUUGGAAGGAACAUCAGUGGCGGAGGCGGCCACCUGGACAGAUACUGACGCUGAGGCACGAAAGCGUGGGGAGCAAACAGGAUUAGAUACCCUGGUAGUCCACGCCGUAAACGAUGUCAACUAGCUGUCUGUGGACUUGAUCCGUGGGUAGCGGAGCUAACGCAUUAAGUUGACCGCCUGGGGAGUACGGCCGCAAGGUUAAAACUCAAAUGAAUUGACGGGGGCCCGCACAAGCGGUGGAGCAUGUGGUUUAAUUCGAUGCAACGCGAAGAACCUUACCAUCCCUUGACAUCCACAGAAGAGACUAGAGAUAGACUUGUGCCUUCGGGAACUGUGAGACAGGUGCUGCAUGGCUGUCGUCAGCUCGUGUUGUGAAAUGUUGGGUUAAGUCCCGCAACGAGUGCAACCCCUAUCCUUAUUUGCCAGCGCGUUAUGGCGGGAACUCUAAGGAGACUGCCGGUGAUAAACCGGAGGAAGGUGGGGACGACGUCAAGUCAUCAUGGCCCUUACGGGAUGGGCUACACACGUGCUACAAUGGCAAGUACAGAGGGCAGCAAUACCGCGAGGUGGAGCGAAUCCCACAAAGCUUGUCGUAGUCCGGAUUGGAGUCUGCAACUCGACUCCAUGAAGUCGGAAUCGCUAGUAAUCGUAGAUCAGAAUGCUACGGUGAAUACGUUCCCGGGCCUUGUACACACCGCCCGU